ACCACCCGGGGGUCCGCUCGGCGGCGCUCUCGCAGCUCCGCCUCUUCCCGCUGCCUUGACUCUAGUCGGAGCACGGCAGGAAAACCGCAAGGGACACCGAGGCCUCUGCGGGGAGCUGUGGAGCGGCCCCUGGGCGGCUGCUCCCCUUGUAACGGACUUCACCGACAGGAGGCGCGGCUCCUGUGAAGCGGCAGCUUAAAAGGGCAACAGCACCACCGACCCCGCUGCCGCAUGGGAAGGGGCUGCCUCCACCCCGUCCCCCUCCCUCUCACCCCUCACCCCUCACUCCGGCACGCCCCGUGAGCACCCAUUUUGGCGGGUGCAGGAGUCCAGAGCAGCACCAGCCCUGUCCCUAGAG
rnacentral:lncRNA from 1 species